UAUUGAAAGAGAUAUUGGUGAGGUUCAACCUGAUGGUAAUUUUAUGAAAAUUCGUAAAACAAACAUCUGAUUGAGCCGUGCCAAUAUCACUUCCUUUGUG
rfam:Zostera marina strain Finnish scaffold_223, whole genome shotgun sequence.